GUCCUAGCCCUAAACGAUGGAUGCUUGGUGUAGCGGGUACCCAAUCCCACUGUGCCGGAGCUAACGCGUUAAGCAUCCCGCCUGGGGAGUACGGUCGCAAGGCUGAAACUCAAAAGGAAUUGACGGGGGCCCGCACAAGCGGUGGAGCAUGUGGUUCAAUUUCGACGCAACGCGAAGAACCCUUACCUGGGCUCGAAGCGCAGUGGAACGGAGUGGAAACACUCCCUCCGCAAGGGCUGCUGCGUAGGUGCUGCAUGGCUGUCGU
rnacentral:rRNA from 1 species